AUGGGGGAUUUUAGUGAUAUCCUUAAUUCCCUGGAGAAGAAUAAUAGUACUAGCUUGAACUAUCAUUGUAUGGCUUACAAUCCUGUUAAACCAUGCGGGUUAAUCGAUAUGGGUUAUAAUUGUCCUACUUUUACUUGGUGCAACGAACGUUUUACUUUUGCUCCUACUUAUGGAAUACUUGACCAUUGCUUUGCUAAUGUUGAAUGGUGCAAAGAAUUUCCUAAUACCUCGGUUUACAAUUUGCCAAUUUUUUUAGUUAUUCAUGCACCCAUUUUAACAAUUUCUAAGCUUAGUACUGUUAUGAUUAAAAGUUCCUUCAAAUUUGAAAUUUGGUGGCUUAUGGAAUAUGACGAUCAUGAAAUGAUAAGAAUAGUUGGACCAAUACUAAUUACCUUUCCAUGUUAG
rnacentral:rRNA from 1 species